GACGAACGCUGGCGGCGUGCUUAACACAUGCAAGUCGAACGGAAAGGCCUCUUUCGGGGGGUACUCGAGUGGCGAACGGGUGAGUAACACGUGAGUAACCUGCCCUUGACUUUGGGAUAACUUCAGGAAACUGGGGCUAAUACCGGAUAGGAGCUCCUGCUGCAUGGUGGGGGUUGGAAAGUUUCGGCGGUUGGGGAUGGACUCGCGGCUUUUCAGCUUGUUGGUGGGGUAGUGGCUUACCAAGGCUUUGACGGGUAGCCGGCCUGAGAGGGUGACCGGCCACAUUGGGACUGAGAUACGGCCCAGACUCCUACGGGAGGCAGCAGUGGGGAAUAUUGCACAAUGGGUGGAAGCCUGAUGCAGCAACGCCGUGUGCGGGAUGACGGCCUUCGGGUUGUAAACCGCUUUCGCUCAUGACGAAGCUUUGUGUGACGGUAGUGGGUAAAGAAGCACCGGCUAACUACGUG
rnacentral:rRNA from 1 species